rnacentral:rRNA from 1 species
CUGGUGGCGAGCGGCGGACGGGUGAGUAAUGCCUAGGAAUCUGCCUGGUAGUGGGGGAUAACGCUCGGAAACGGACGCUAAUACCGCAUACGUCCUACGGGAGAAAGCAGGGGACCUUCGGGCCUUGCGCUAUCAGAUGAGCCUAGGUCGGAUUAGCUAGUUGGUGAGGUAAUGGCUCACCAAGGCGACGAUCCGUAACUGGUCUGAGAGGAUGAUCAGUCACACUGGAACUGAGACACGGUCCAGACUCCUACGGGAGGCAGCAGUGGGGAAUAUUGGACAAUGGGCGAAAGCCUGAUCCAGCCAUGCCGCGUGUGUGAAGAAGGUCUUCGGAUUGUAAAGCACUUUAAGUUGGGAGGAAGGGCAGUUACCUAAUACGUGAUUGUUUUGACGUUACCGACAGAAUAAGCACCGGCUAACUCUGUGCCAGCAGCCGCGGUAAUACAGAGGGUGCAAGCGUUAAUCGGAAUUACUGGGCGUAAAGCGCGCGUAGGUGGUUUGUUAAGUUGGAUGUGAAAUCCCCGGGCUCAACCUGGGAACUGCAUCCAAAACUGGCAAGCUAGAGUAUG